UGGAGAUUAUCGCUCUUCACAAUUCCUUCUGCUAUUGGAGGAGUGUUUCUCUGCAUUAACAUCUGCUGUAUGGUCUGGCUGUGUAGGAAACGAAAACAGGAACAGAUAAGUCUUUGUGAUAGGCAAGGAGAGGUGCAGCAGGAAUGCAAAGAGGAGGUGAUUUAUGAAAACUGUUUAGCAACGGAUGCUGCACAACACUGUUAACAUGGACCCACAACACUGAGAGAAAAGGCGGCAGAGUAAACAGGAGGAGAACAGAAAGGGCGACUGAGGGGUGGAGGUGUGGGUGAGAGAAUGUACAGCACUUCUAUUUCAGGCAUUGACCACCUGAUAACAACAGUGCUGAGUUGAUGGAAAUAUAUGGACGUCAUUUGUACCAGAGC